UUACUACUCUCUCCGUUAAGAAUUACUUGUCGUAAAAAUGGAUGUAUCUAGACAUUUUUUAGUUCUAGAUACAUCCAUUUCUGCGACAAGUAAUUCAGGACGGAGGGAGUAGUUG
rfam:Triticum aestivum genome assembly, contig: Triticum_aestivum_CS42_TGACv1_scaffold_149212_2BS